GGCAAGCUGCUGGGCUUCCCUUCCACAUUGUGGAAGCUUUGUUCUUUUGCUCUUUGCGAUAAAUCUUGCCCCUGCUCACUCUUUGGGUCCACACUGCCUUUAUGAGCUGUAACGCCACGAAGGUCUGCAGCUUCACGAACCCAUCGGGAGGAACGAACAAUUCCAGACGCGCUGCCUUAAGAGCUGUAACACUCACCGCGAAGGUCCGCAGCUUCGCUCCUGAGCCAGCGAGACCACGAACCCACCAGAAGGAAGAAACUCCGAACACAUCCCAACAUCAGAAGAAACAAACUCCAAACACAUCCGAACAUCAGAAGGAACAAACUCCAGACGCGCCACCUUAAGAGCUGUAACACCGCGAGGGUCCGCGGCUUUAUUCUUGAAGUCAGUGAGACCAAGAACCCACCAGUUCCGGACACAAUACUUUUCACACUGCAUGAUGAAGAAAUUUAGCUUUAUUGUUAGGCAUUGUGGCUCUGGAGACCUGGAAGCACUGCUAACUGUUCUCUCGAUUUUCUGACGCUCGGCCACAUCAACCUGUCAUACUAGUUGUGAGGAGAAGUCAAGGACAGUGACACAGCCAGCCAGUCUGAGGCAUUUUCCAUCAUCCUGAAGGAGUUGCCCUAUCCUGCUUUUCACUGGAGGGGGCAUGGAUGGGGGCUCCUGACACACUGACCUCUGUCAGUUCCUUCAGCACACCAGGCUAAUCCCCAGUCUUGCGCCUUUGGACCAGAGGUUUUCUUUGCUCAGAAUACUGUUUCAACAGAUCUUUGCAUAGCUGGCUCUCGCUAUUUGACUAAAAUGUCAAUCCUCAGAGAGGUACUCCUUAAAUAUCCAAUCUUAAGUAGCAUCCCUUUCUCCCAGGAUCCUGUUUUUCAGAACUCUGUUUUCUUUUUAAAACACUUGUUAUCUGAAAGGAUGUCGUCUGCUUGCUUGUUUGUUCAUUUCUUUAUUGUCUAUUCCAUCUCACCCCUUCUCAGGAUGUAAGCUGUUUAAAGGCAAGGACCUUAUCUGUGUUACAUGCUGUAUUCCCAGGGCUCAGACAGAGCAUGACCUAUCGUAUGUACUAAAUAAAUAUCUC
rnacentral:lncRNA from 1 species